AGUCAACCUACCCUAUGGACGGGAAUAACCUCGGGAAACUGAGAAUAAUGCCCGAUAGAACAUUAUGCCUGGAAUGGUUUAUGUUCCAAAUGAUUUAUCGCCGUAGGAUGGGACUGCGUCCUAUCAGUUUGUUGGUGAGGUAAUGGCCCACCAAGACUAUUACAGGUACGGGCUCUGAGAGGAGUAGCCCGGAGAUGGGUACUGAGACACGGACCCAGGCCCUAUGGGGCGCAGCAGGCGAGAAAACUUUGCAAUGUGCGAAAGCACGACAAGGUUAAUCCGAGUGGUUUCUGCUAAAGGAACCUUUUGUCGGUCCUAGAAACACCGAUGAAUAAGGGGUGGGCAAGUUCUGGUGUCAGCCGCCGCGGUAAAACCAGCACCUCAAGUGGUCAGGAUGAUUAUUGGGCCUAAAGCAUCCGUAGCCGGCUCUGUGAGUUUUCGGUUAAAUCUGUGCGCUCAACGUACAGGCUGCCGGGAAUACUGCAAAGCUAGGGAGUGGGAGAGGUAGACGGUACUUGGUAGGAAGGGGUAAAAUCCUCUGAUCUAUUGAUGACCACCUGUGGCGAAGGCGGUCUACCAGAACACGUCCGACGGUGAGGGAUGAAAGCUGGGGGAGCAAACCGGAUUAGAUACCCGGGUAGUCCCAGCUGUAAACUAUGCAAACUCAGUGAUGCAUUGGCUUGUGGCUAAUGCAGUGCU
rnacentral:rRNA from 1 species